rnacentral:rRNA from 1 species
GCAUGGCCGUUCUUAGUUGGUGGAGUGAAUUGUCUGCUUAAUUGCGUUAACGAACGAGACCUUAACCUGCUAAAUAGUUAUGCCAACUUUUGUUGGUAGCCAACUUCUUAGAGGGACUGUCGGCAUCAAGCCGACGGAAGUUUGAGGCAAUAACAGGUCUGUUAUGCCCUUAGAUGUCCUGGGCCGCACGCGCGCUACACUGAUGAAGUCAACGAGUUUAUAACCUUGGCCGGAAGGUCUGGGUAAUCUUUUGAAACUUCAUCGUGCUGGGGAUAGAGCAUUGCAAUUAUUGCUCUUCAACGAGGAAUUCCUAGUAAGCGUGAGUCAUCAGCUCGCGCUGAUUACGUCCCUGCCCUUUGUACACACCGCCCGUCGCUACUACCGAUUGAAUGGCUUAGUGAGUCCCUCGGAUCGGCGU